rnacentral:rRNA from 1 species
AUUGAACGCUGGCGGCAUGCCUUACACAUGCAAGUCGAACGGUAACGGGCCUUCGGGUGCCGACGAGUGGCGAGCGGGUGAGUAAUAUAUCGGAACGUGCCCAGUAGUGGGGGAUAGCCCGGCGAAAGCCGGAUUAAUACCGCAUGAGACCUGAGGGUGAAAGCGGGGGACUCGCAAGGGCCUCGCGCUAUUGGAGCGGCCGAUAUCAGAUUAGCUAGUUGGUGGGGUAAAGGCCUACCAAGGCAACGAUCUGUAGUUGGUCUGAGAGGACGACCAGCCACACUGGGACUGAGACACGGCCCAGACUCCUACGGGAGGCAGCAGUGGGGAAUUUUGGACAAUGGGCGCAAGCCUGAUCCAGCAAUGCCGCGUGCAGGAAGAAGGCCUUCGGGUUGUAAACUGCUUUUGUCAGGGAAGAAAUCUUCUGGGUUAAUACCUCGGGAGGAUGACGGUACCUGAAGAAUAAGCACCGGCUAACUACGUGCCAGCAGCCGCCGUAAAAC